CAGCAGCCACGGUAAUACGGAGGGUGCAAGCGUUAUCCGGAUUUAUUGGGUUUAAAGGGUCCGUAGGCGGAUCUGUAAGUCAGUGGUGAAAUCUCACAGCUUAACUGUGAAACUGCCAUUGAUACUGCAGGUCUUGAGUAAAUUUGAAGUGGCUGGAAUAAGUAGUGUAGCGGUGAAAUGCAUAGAUAUUACUUAGAACACCAAUUGCGAAGGCAGGUCACUAAGAUUUAACUGACGCUGAUGGACGAAAGCGUGGGGAGCGAACAGGAUUAGAUACCCCGGUAGUCCUGUCUCUUAUACA
rnacentral:rRNA from 1 species